CUCGGAAACAGAGUAGCAUCGCCUUUUUUUUUUUAAUAUAAGAAUACCGAGGAAAUUCCGACGGAUAUUUAAGUGUCCGUCGGAAUUUCCUCGGAAUAUUUUCAUUUAACUGGACAAACCAGCCGCCAAAUAUUUUGCGAAAAUUGAAAUUAAAAAUACCGAGGAAAUUCCGACGGAUAGUUUCCGUCGGACCCUGGGUUUUAUAAUGACGAAACACUUCUUCUUCCCCAUUUCUCUCUUCUUCCUCUCCGGCGAUCUAUCUCUUCUUCCGGCGAUCUCCCCCUUCUCUCGCGACGAUCUCUCCGGCCAAUCCUCUAUAAACCUACACAAAUCAUGUCUACUGGUGAUCAGAUCCGGUCUCGAUCUCGUCGUGCCUCACCACGAGGUCGUAGUGGUACGGGAAGCCACUCUCAGGGUUCGUUCAGCCACUCUCGGGGUUCGUCCAGCCACUCUCGGGGGUCGAGCAGCCACUGUCGGGAUUCUUCAUUUCCCGCUCUGGUUUUUGCUCCCGCUGCUGCAUUCCCUUCCGUUGCUGCACCCCCUCCCGCUCCUCCAGUCGUUCCGGGAGUGAUGACUGUUGCCCAGUUGGUUCAACAGCCCGGUCGUGAGCAUCUUCUCUAUCUCACUCCGUGUCCAAAGGGACGACGUCAAACAUGGUUCAACCGAUCUGGGAACGGGAUCAGCGCAUGGAUCAACAAUAUGAUGUACUCGAACCUCAGCAAGGGAUAUCCGACUUUCACUCACUUCCCUGCCGAGGACCAGGAGAUGUGGUUUCGUCAGUUUGCGCAAGAGUUCACCUGGAAUCCCGAUCACACGAACUUUAUCCGUGACGUCUUCGUCCAUAAAGUUAUGGACAACUAUAGGAAAGUACAUCUACGAGUGGAAGCAGAAGUGGCUCAUCAACCAGGUCCCGAAGUCGAUCAACAGCACGGUCUGGGAGGAGUUGUGUGUGCAUUGGGAUAAGGACGAGACGAAAGCUACCUCCGUGACCAAGUCCGCCAACCGCAAGAGCGAUCGUGGCGGGAAGGGCAUGUACAAGCACAAUUCGGGUGCCCAGACUAUUGCCACUCUGGGGGAUCGCUUGGCGGAUGAAAAUGAUGGGGAGCCGGUUGAUGAUUUCGUCCUAAUGAAGACGGCGCAUACCAACAAGCACACCGGGGAGAUUGAUGAUGGUGUUGUGAGGGAUGUGCUCAGCCUGAUCGAAACUCAGAAGGAAGACGAAGAGACCCGUCUAUCUCAGCUUCAAACCGACCUGGACGCCACUUCGACGGCUUCGACCAACUUGUCCCGGAUUCGAAUCAACGAAAUCGUUGAAUCGUCGGUUCCAAAGAAGAAGGGACGUUUGGCCGGUUUGGGUCGUCGAGCCCGGUCGGUUCCUCCUUCUGCACCACAGCCCUAUGUUGAUCCAGAAGUGCUUAUGGACCAGUUGAAGGACAAAGAUGACUGCAUAGCUGCGUUGAAGCAAAAUAUGGCUGAUCAAGAGGCGGGACGGGAGGCAACGAGGAAGCAGAACGAGCAAAUGAUGGAGAUGAUGAAGAGGAUGUACCCGUAGUUUCUUUCUUUUUUUCAAAAACUCUGAAUGUUUUUAUUUUGGUAUGUACAACUUUGAAUAUUAUCUAAUAUGUUUUCUAUUUCAA